GAUGAACGCUGGCGGCGUGCUUAACACAUGCAAGUCGAACGGAAAGGCUCCUGCUUGCAGGGGUACUCGAGUGGCGAACGGGUGAGUAACACGUGGGUGAUCUGCCCUGCACUUCGGGAUAAGCCUGGGAAACUGGGUCUAAUACCGGAUAGGACCACAUUUUGGAUGGUGUGGUGGAAAGUUUUUCGGUGUGGGAUGAGCUCGCGGCCUAUCAGCUUGUUGGUGGGGUAAUGGCCUACCAAGGCGUCGACGGGUAGCCGGCCUGAGAGGGUGUACGGCCACAUUGGGACUGAAAUACGGCCCAGACUCCUACGGGAGGCAGCAGUGGGGAAUAUUGCACAAUGGGCGCAAGCCUGAUGCAGCGACGCCGCGUGGGGGAUGACGGCCUUCGGGUUGUAAACUCCUUUCGCUAGGGACGAAGCGCAAGUGACGGUACCUGGAGAAGAAGCACCGGCUAACUACGUG
rnacentral:rRNA from 1 species